GAAAGCUUAAAACUGAAGAGAAGACACUCCAAAAACUUUUCCAACUUUUUUACUUCAACCCCAUCAUUUUUUUUACGAAACCUUAAAUGUCCUUUUUCCAUACCUUUGUGUCAAGUAAAAAAAAAAAAAAAAUACAAAACGAAAAAAUUCCAAUAAGAAAAUUCCAUUUUGCGCCAAUACUUCAAAAAGUAUUUUCUCUACAUUCCAUUCCAGUGCUCGAGAAAAGAAGAGAUAAAGAGUCAAAGAGCGGAAGUAAAGAAGAAGAAGAAGAUGGGAACGGUAGUAUGCCAUCCGUUGAAGUCAUCAACCGUAACUAGCGAUUUAUCGGUGAAAUGUCAUCGUUGUGCAUCAACAUGUCUUCCCAAAGGAUUCCUCUGUCACGAUAAAUCAACUCAGAAUGCAAGCUCGCGGCUGUUAUCCUCGCCGGAUAGUGCGUACGUGCUGCAAGUUGCGGUAAAUAUUCGAACAUGCAUGUCCUUAAAGCGAUAAAUUGCAUAUUGAUGAUGUAAAAACCCAUCAAUCGAUUUGAGAGAGAGGUGUAGAUGUGUUUAAUGAAUGAACAUGCUUUUUGGUUAUAGAUUAAUUAAAAUUCCAUUUUUCAAUUGAAA